UAUCCUAGCUAUCUAUAGCUUAGGGAACCAUCUUGCAGUCGCUAGUGUGUGUUAAACCACUUAAGGUUAUUUAAUAGUUUCCUUAGCUAGCUAGCCAAUUAGCUUGCAUAGCAACUAGGCACCAAAGUAAAAUUUCUCAAAAUCAGUUGAGAAAGAGAAAAUCUAAAAUACAGUCUUCAAAGGGACCACUUGAGGAUGAUGUUAAAUGGCUUCACAUAGACAUUAAACAAUCCUGCGUGAAAUAAUGGGACAUCAGUGGAGCAAGGGCUUACUCUGAUACCAAUGUAGUGAAAUAUCAGUGGAGUAAGGGCUUACUCUGAUACCAAUGUAGUGAAAUAUCAGUGGAGCAAGGGCUUACUCUGAUACCAAUGUAGUGAAAUAUCAGUGGAGUAAGGGCUUACUCUGAUACCAAUGUAGUGAAAUAUCAGUGGAGUAAGGGCUUACUCUGAUACCAAUGUAGUGACUGAAUGGGG
ensembl:lncRNA